rnacentral:lncRNA from 1 species
GCUCCUGAACUUUUCAUCGCGAAAAACAAAGUGAGGCAGUUGCUCAAAAUAAAUGUUUUGAAAUGGGGGGGGGGGGGGGGGGGGGGUGCGUUCAAGGCAGCCUCGUCACCUGAUCGCUGCUUUUAAGUCCGCUGUAGACAAUAAUAGGCGUUCCAGCAAACUCUGAGUGUUUGCUCAGCUCCGCUGUUCUUGAGACAUCGCUUCCAUGGCUUCAGGGCCUGGAUGUUUCUCCACUCGCAGGCGUUGUCAUUCGAGCCGUACCCGCAAUCUCGGAGCGAUCAACGAGGAACCACGUGAAACGCGGCAGCGAGGUCGAUGAUGUGCGCGUCUCCACAGAUGAUGAAUCACGCUGACGGCUGCACUGCGAGGUGUUGAGACAGGAGCGACACACGCCUUUCUGGCCAACCAACCUCCGGGUUUAUGGUGUAUGCAAGGCUUGGUUAUAAAUUAAACAGGUUGUAUGAAGCAACAAACAUCCUUUUAGCUGCACGCUUAGCAUAAAGUCACGUAUCGUGCUUGACCUGUUGCUAAUCGGGGCACAGAUAACGCUGUUGUGUGCGGCUGUAAUCUGGCUCGUUUAUCAGCCACACCAGACCAGACGCAGGUCAGUGAAAUGUAAAUGUUAUUUACAUUAAGUGCAUGCGAGAGCUGCUUUUAGUCACGACACACCCUCAGCUGGCACAGCCACCAUAAUAUGUAUUAAAUACAAAUUUUGUUUGAAAACUUCAAGCAAAAUUUCAAGUUGACAUAAAUCAAAAGUUUAGUUUAUCUUCGAUGCAGUUACAUUAAAGAUCCAGUCAGAUUCUUCAGUCAUUAAAGGGAUGCAGAAUUACAAAUAUUGUAUAAAACCAUCCAUCUAAAGCUGACAACAUUUUAAGAUACAGUUCAAUUAGUAGACUUGGAAUCGAUCCACUCAAAUAACAGCUCUCCAGAAUGAAGCAGAAAUUAUUAAAAACUCUGUGAUUGGUCAGAAGAGUAAGCGUGGAUGUGACACAGACCUUCACACGAGGCUCAUGUAAUACAUGCAUUUAUUUUAAAGCCAUGACGUCAUUGGCACAUUCUGAAUGUGGUAGAUAUUGAUUUGUUAUUUUUAUUUUAAUAUCUGCAGUAUUGCUACAGUUAGAUAUCAGAAAAAAGCCAAGUUAAAAGUAUUAACACUUUUAUAGAACAUGUUUGAAGCAAUAGUAAAAGAAAGACAAUCUAAAAAAGCAGCUCAACUUGUGUCCUAACAUUAACAUUGCGUCCACACACACACACACACACACACACACACACACACACACACACACACACACACACACACACACACACACACUUAG